UUAGAUACCCUAUUAUACUAAUAAAAACCUAAAUUAUUAAUAGAUAUUGUCUUUAAACUUGAAGAAUUUGGCGGUGAUUUAAUCUUAUUAGAGGAAUCUGUUUUUGAAUCGAUACACCACGUUAAAUUUCACUCAUUUUAUUUAGUCUAUAUACCGUCAUUAGCAGAUAAUUUUAAAAGAAAUUGAAUUAUUAAAGUUUAUUUAUAAAUAGAUUAAAUUAGAUCAAGGUGUAGCUUAUAAAUGAGUUAAAAUGGAUUACAAUAAAAUAUAUUUACUACGGAGUAGAAGAGUAAGAAAGUUCUAUAAAGGAGGAUUUAAUUGUAAUGAAAGUUUAACAAGCUUGUAAGAUAUAGGCACUAAAUCAUGUACAUAUCGCCCGUCGCUA
rnacentral:rRNA from 1 species